UACGUAGGGUGCGAGCGUUGUCCGGAAUUACUGGGCGUAAAGCGUACGUAGGCGGCUUUGUAAGUAAGAGGUGAAAGCCCGGAGCUCAACUCCGGAACUGCCUUUUAGACUGCAUCGCUUGAAUCCAGGAGAGGUGAGUGGAAUUCCGAGUGUAGAGGUGAAAUUCGUAGAUAUUCGGAAGAACACCAGUGGCGAAGGCGGCUCACUGGACUGGUAUUGACGCUGAGGUACGAAAGCGUGGGGAGCAAACAGG
rnacentral:rRNA from 1 species